AGUAGUAUGUGUUGAAUGCUUGAUAUUUGUAAAAUAUCAUGUUAUUGUCAAGAGGUAUUCUUCUCGGAAAAUCUAUAAAAUUAAAAAAAAAAGUUUGGGAUUUAAUUGAUAAUAAUAGGGUAAACCAUUAAGGCCUAAACUGAGGUUUCUCCGAAGAAAAACUCGUGAAGAUACGAUAGCCUUCGGCUACAUGAAUUCAUUAUUCAAGUGACAAGCAUUACAUUACAGGCUGGUCUAAGCCGGGUCUGGCCUGAUAAAUCAAGUGUUUUGAGCUCCGGCUUUGGUCAUUGGAGCCCACCUCCAGCCCACAUUAUGUUCUUAAUUACUUCAGGCGUGCUCAAUAUUUAUCCGUGAAUUUAUUUAUUUAUAAGAAAAAAGGAAAAUCUCAAAGCAUAACUGGAGAAGGAAAAGGGGAAAAUAGUUCACUUUAAUUCGAACAGUAGCCCACAACAGGAGUUUUCUCUGCCGUUUCCUUCUGGUAAUCAAUUCUAAACAAUUUCUCCUCACUUUUUUUUUUUUAAAUUUAUCAGCUCGGAAAGUGCCUGGAGACUUAAUUGAAGAUCUUCUCUGUGGAAAUCCUAAUCGGUACUGCUACAACGUUGGGAUUUUGACUUGCUUCCUCAUCUUCUGUGUUAUUGUGGAAGAUGAGGAUGAGACGACAUGGGGACUAUCUUGGAAUGAUAACUUUGACUAAAAAUCUCUUCACACAGCUUUGUGGAAGAAUCUUGUAUUGAGAGACGAGUGAUUUCCUUCAGGAUCUAUUUGGAAGAUCAAAGGCCUUUCUUUACACUGUCUUCUGUCUUUCUUUUCUUUUUGUGUGGUAGGUGGCUUGCAUACGAUUCUGACUGUUAGUAAUCCUACAGAAAACGGAAAAGGUGGUGGUGAAGUGGUACACUGGUACUAUUUCAGGCUUUGGGGAUAUUGAGUUGAAUGCUUGGCUUGGUGGAGGUGUCUGUAGGAGGAAAAUGGAAGUUAUGAACUUGUAGUCCACUAGCUAUAAUUUUAAGGAAUGCGACAAAACUGGGUGUGCAAUGGAAAAGAGUCUUCGCCUUCUUAUAGAUAAUUCAGUUACAAAUUUAAAUUCUGGCACACGGGGAAACUCUUUGCAAGUGUAAUUUAUGCUACAGAGUUUAUUAACUAAUUAUUUUUAUCUAA